AAAAUAAGCUGUCAUUAUCGGAAUGAUCAAACACAGAGAGAAAAGAGGCAGAGGUGAGAAGAUGGAGAAGAUGAAUACAUUUGCUUUCAGCAAACCAAUGGAAGUCCAUUUGCAUGAUCUGAAAAGGAAAAUGAGAAGCUAAUUUUUCUAUACAAGGCAGAAUUUAAGAAAUACAAUUCCUAAGGACUCCAGUGGAUACAGCUCUGGUUCCUGGACUUCGUGUUUUGGCUUGGUCUUUCUGCUUUUUCAAUUUUGUCACUGGUGUGAUCCAGAGAACAUGCCUUUCACUGUGAAAACCAGCACCUUCAAGGCCAGGCGCAGUGGCUUGCGCCUAUAAUCCCAGCAUAUUGGGAGGCCGAGGUGGGUGGAUCACCUGAGGUCAGGAGUUCAAGACCAACCUGACCAACAUGGUCUACUAAAAAUACAAAAAUUAGCCCGGCAUGGUGGCGGGCGCCUAUAAUCCCA
rnacentral:lncRNA from 1 species